rnacentral:rRNA from 1 species
AGGACGAACGCUGGCGGCGUGCUUAACACAUGCAAGUCGAGCGGAAAGGCCCUUCGGGGUACUCGAGCGGCGAACGGGUGAGUAACACGUGAGUAACCUGCCCCUAGCUCUGGGGUAGCUCCGGGAAACCGGGAUUAAUACCAGAUACGACCACUUUAGACAUCUGUCGUGGUGGAAAGGAUUCCGGCUAGGGAUGGGCUCGCGGCCUAUCAGCUUGUUGGUGGGUAACGCCUACCAAGGCGACGACGGGUAG